AUCAGCCCAUUUGGACUUUGUUUUCUGUUGCAGCAUUUUUCAUUGCAGUUUUUUUUGUUUAAGAAAUACUAACUUAAACCUUUUAUUUCACGGACAUAGUUUGCAUUCAUUCAUAAAUUGCAAUGUAACUGAAUCUAAUCUAAAUGUAUCCUACUUUUAAAUACUAUGUUCUAUUUUAUUUUAUUUAUUGAUUGUAGUGAGUGAAAUUGACCCCCCUCUGCCAAAUUAUGAUGGCCAUGUGGAUAGUGAGAAGUUUUGGGAGGCAGUAACAGUAGACAUGAUAAACCAAGGUUUUUAUAUAAGUGGGAUAAAGAUAAAGAUAAAGGGAUGAAGCCCUUCAUUGAGCACCCAAGCUACAGCUUUUGGGCUCCAUGGAUUGGUAUUCAUACUAGGUCAUCCAACAUGGUUCUCAAUACAGAGUAUAAGCUUCAUGAUUCACAAGACUCAACUGAGGAUGACAUACUGCUUACAGAAGAAAUGCUUGCUGAUGAGCUGCUAAAUCUCCGGACUGAGGAAAUAAGGGGUAUGGUAAGGGGUAUGGAAUAGAUCACAAAGGAUCUAAGAUGGAUUUAAUCAUCUGGCUUAAAGAGAGGAUGUCAAAUAGAGUCACCGACAACAAGGUUUUUGAAAAAGUGUGGGGUGCAUCUGGUAAGUCAAACUGUACAGUUAUGUAUUAGGGUGGCAUAAAAGUAUUGAUAUACGUUAUUGUUUACAUAAUCAUUUUGCUGUUGAAAUUGCUUCAAAUUGAGGUGAUUUUGUCAGUUUUAAGCUGUGGGGUUAUAAAAAUGUAUAGAUACAAACAUAUUGAGUAUUCAUGGAUUUUGAGUUGACAUGUCUUUCACUUUAGGUGGCUGUGCUGUUACAACCUGCCUGUGUGGAGUUGUGUCUGUGAAAUUUAACAUCAGAGCAGAAAGCCCUCGUGAUUAUGCUAACCUCCUGCUUUCAUGGAAAAGUACCAAAUGGUACUGUGUACGACUACCCAAGGGGUCUAGCCUCACAUGCAAACCAUUGUUCAAAGAAAUUGUUUCAUCCUUUUUGAAGGUCGAUUACUGCACCUAUCUGAAGAGAAUAUCAAGAAGGCAUCUGAAAAUGACUUGGAAGUCAGUUUGCCAUAUUAACCACCAAAAAGAACCAGCUGAUCAAGAUGGUCACCCUGUUACUGGUUCAUGUGACCAUUAUGUUUUAUGUUAUGUGUUCCAUCAAAACAAUAGUAAGGAUCUUAGGGAUUCCUUGAGAAAGUGUAACGAGGCGGCAGACUCGGUGGGAUCCAUGUGCAGCUUUAUUAAACAAUUGUAGUCAUACAGGCAGGGGUCAAAUACCAACAAUAGCUAUGUCAGAGGCAAAACGUAAUCAGAAACAGGGACAGGCAAAUGGUCAGGGCAGGCGGAAGACAAGGCAGAGUAAUCCAGUAAACAGUCAGAUAAAUCACAAGGCAGGCAGCAGGCAAAACAUGGAGGUAUAAGGCAGCCCAAGGUCAUAUACAGAAUCACAAUAAACAGGGGAAACCGCUCAGUAAUGUUAGCCAGGGCAAAACAAGACUUUGCAAAGAGUGAGUGUGUGCGUGUGCUUAAAUAGUCCGGGUUAUUGGGAUCAGGUGCGUGGGUAAUCAGCCCAGAUAUGGGGUUAUGGGAAAUGUAGUCCAGGACAGGUUAGUACUCAGGUGAGGGAGCCCUCUGGUGGCGAUUGGAGGGAGCCACAGAGGCCAAGUUCAUGACAGAAAGAUUUAUCUUGGAGCUUGCAGGAAAAAUAAACAGUCAGACAACUCUUUUCAGAUAUGAAGAAAAAUAACUGCUUCCUGAAUAUGAUGAAACCAUCAACCAUCAUCCCACAUUUUCCUUGCAAGAAAUAUUUUGCAGCAUAAAAAUGUUGCAUAGAACAAUAAGGUUGUGAAGCAGUUAAGAAAACUUGCUGACAAGAACACUGCAAUGGAAAGAUAAUUUUGGGUAAUAUAUUAUCACUGUGUGCAUGUAUAUAUGUAUAUAGUAAAGAUAUAUAUGAAUGUGUAUGUAUAUGCUUAUCUGUUUUAGGUGCAGCCAGUCCUCAAUCCUCAAUUGAGAGUCCUCAAUCCUCCAAAACUAUUGAGACUGGAGUAUGCAGUCAAAAUUCAGGUUGCACAUGUGUUGGACCCCAACGGUGACCUGGAGGAACAUAUCGUUUCUGUAGGAUCGACUGUGCUGUUGCAUUCCGAUUUGUUGUCUUUAGGACUGUCAGAAGAAGUUGAAGCAAUGUCAUUGAUUUUGAGCUGUUGCCUAAGAAUCAGAGCACAUCGCUUUCCGCAUGGAAAUAAGGUGGUAGUGACCUGGCUUCCGCCACUUUCUUGUUUCCCUGAGUUGUCCCUUCCGCCUAAUUUUAGCCAGACAGACCUUGUAGUUCUGCCAGCUUGGGUACCUGCCUGGCCACUGGCUACUGUGUGAGCAUGGCAAAACUCAUCGACAGCAGAGAGUGGAUGGAGCUUCACCAUUCAAAAGAGUAUACAGUUGUGACAACAAUCAGCCCUGGAAAUCCUUUCUGAAAUCUUCAGUGAAGUUAUUUUGUCAACGGGUGACUCUGCAUAUUUGACACUUCCUCUGGUGUUGCCAACUGGAAGAAUUUCACUCCCGUCUACCGGAAAGAGGGAAAGGGUGGGAAGAGGCCGACAUGAUGAACUUCUGGGCUUUUACUUUUUUUGCAGCAGGAAACACAUUGGUGUCUUAAGUUCAUAUAAGGGAAAGAGAGAAUGAACUGAGAUCAACUGGUUUUGAUGUAUUAAUUGAUGUCAUUUAAAGUUUGCCGUGUAUAGUGUUCUAAUAAAAAAAAAGCUAUGGCAAACACA